rnacentral:rRNA from 1 species
UACAGAGGGGGCAAGCGUUGUUCGGAAUUACUGGGCGUAAAGGGCGCGUAGGCGGCCUUCUAAGUCGAACGUGAAAUCCCUGGGCUCAACCCAGGAACUGCGUCCGAUACUGGGAGGCUUGAAUCCGGGAGAGGGAUGCGGAAUUCCAGGUGUAGCGGUGAAAUGCGUAGAUAUCUGGAGGAGCACCGGUGGCGAAGGCGGCAUCCUGGACCGGCAUUGACGCUGAGGCGCGAAAGCCAGGGGAGCAAACGGG